ACCUGAAUGAUAUGUCACUCUGUAGAGUCUGUAGAGCUGCACUUUCUUGUGUGUUCAUGUUAAAUAAAUAAUACCAAUACUGUAACUGCUUUGGGGUCAGUUCUAAGUGUAAACAUUGAUACUUUAAUGAAUGAAGCAGGUUAGAGGGAAC